rnacentral:rRNA from 1 species
GACUACCCGGGUAUCUAAUCCUGUUUGCUCCCCACGCUUUCGUGCAUGAGCGUCAGUAAUGUUCCAGUAGGUCGCCUUCGCACUGAGUAUUCCUCUUGAUAUCUACGGAUUUUACCCCUACACCAAGAAUUCCCCCUACCUCUCCCACCCGCUAGACUAAUAGUUUCCAAUGCCGUUCUUUAGUUAAGCUCCAGGAUUUCACAUCUGACUUACAAGCCCGCUUGCUCCCUCUUUACGCCCAGUGAUUCCGAGUAACGCUUGCACCCUCCGUAUUACCGCGGCUGCUGGCACGGAGUUAGCCGGUGCUUAUUCGUGAGAUACCGUCAUUAUCUUCUCUCACAAAAGGAGUUUACAAUCCUAAACCCUUCAUCCGCCACGCGGCGUUGCUGCUUCCGCGUUUCCCCCAUUGAGCAAUAUUCCCUACUGCUGCCUCCCGUAGU